rnacentral:rRNA from 1 species
AUUGAACGCUGGCGGAAUGCUUUACACAUGCAAGUCGAACGGCAGCACGGGGGCAACCCUGGUGGCGAGUGGCGAACGGGUGAGUAAUACAUCGGAACAUGCCCAGUCGUGGGGGAUAACGUAGCGAAAGUUACGCUAAUACCGCAUACGGUCCAAGGAUGAAAGCGGGGGACCGCAAGGCCUCGCGCGAUUGGAGUGGCCGAUGUCAGAUUAGGUAGUUGGUGGGGUAAAGGCUCACCAAGCCGACGAUCUGUAGCUGGUCUGAGAGGACGACCAGCCACACUGGAACUGAGACACGGUCCAGACUCCUACGGGAGGCAGCAGUGGGGAAUUUUGGACAAUGGGCGCAAGCCUGAUCCAGCCAUUCCGCGUGCAGGAUGAAGGCCUUCGGGUUGUAAACUGCUUUUGUACGGAACGAAACGGCCUGCUCUAAUACAGCGGGCUAAUGACGGUACCGUAAGAAUAAGCACCGGCUAACUACGUGCCAGCAGCCGCAGUAAAAC